UCUGUUUCCACCAUAAGGUCUUCCUCUGUCAAAAUGAAAUGCCAGAUCAGGAAUAACUAGCCAUGUUGUGUAAAGGCUGAUAAAAGUCAUUGAUAUCUAACUGGACAGGUUUGAAGGAUAUCAACCUUGAGUUAAACUUUACUGUCAACCCAGGAUAUUAUCAGUAACCCAUAGUCACAACAACAGGUCACCCCAGGAUAUUAUCAGUAACCCAUAGUCACAACAACAGGUCACCCCAGGAUAUUAUCACUAAUCCAUAGUCACAACAAAAGGUCACCCCAGGAUAUUAUCAGUAACCCAUAGUCACAACAAAAGGUCACCCCAGGAUAUUAUCAGUACCCCAUAGUCACAACAAAAGGUCACCCCAGGAUAUUAUCAGUAACCCAUAGUCACAACAACAGGUCACCCCAGGAUAUUACCAGUAACCCAUAGUCACAACAACAGGUCACCCCAGGAUAUUAUCAGUAACCCAUAGUCACAACAACAGGUCACCCCAGGAUAUUACCAGUAACCCAUAGUCACAACAACAGGUCACCCCAGGAUAUUAUCAGUAACCCAUAGUCACAACAACAGGUCACCCCAGGAUAUUAUCAGUAACCCAUAGUCACAACAACAGGUCACCCCAGGAUAUUAUCAGUAACCCAUAGUCACAACAACAGGUCACCCCAGGAUAUUAUCACUAAUCCAUAGUCACAACAACAGGUCACCCCAGGAUAUUAUCACUAAUCCAUAGUCACAACAACAGGUCACCCCAGGAUAUUACCAGUAACCCAUAGUCACAACAACAGGUCACCCCAGGAUAUUACCAGUAACCCAUAGUCACAACAACAGGUCACCCCAGGAUAUUAUCAGUAACCCAUAGUCACAACAACAGGUCACCCCAGGAUAUUACCAGUAACCCAUAGUCACAACAACAGGUCACCCCAGGAUAUUAUCAGUAACCCAUAGUCACAACAACAGGUCACCCCAGGAUAUUAUCAGUAACCCAUAGUCACAACAACAGGUCACCCCAGGAUAUUACCAGUAACCCAUAGUCACAACAACAGGUCACCCCAGAGAGAGGAUAUUAACAGUAACCCAUAGUCACAACAACAGGUCACCCCAGGAUAUUACCAGUAACCCAUAGUCACAACAACAGGUCACCCCAGGAUAUUACCAGUAACCCAUAGUCACAACAACAGGUCACCCCAGGAUAUUAUCAGUAACCCAUAGUCACAACAACAGGUCACCCCAGGAUAUUAUCAGUAACCCAUAGUCACAACAACAGGUCACCCCAGGAUAUUAUCACUAACCCAUAGUCACAACAACAGGUCACCCCAGGAUAUUAUCAGUAACCCAUAGUCACAACAACAGGUCACCCCAGGAUAUUACCAGUAACCCAUAGUCACAACAACAGGUCACCCCAGGAUAUUACCAGUAACCCAUAGUCACAACAACAGGUCACCCCAGGAUAUUAUCAGUAACCCAUAGUCACAACAACAGGUCACCCCAGGAUAUUAUCAGUAACCCAUAGUCACAACAACAGGUCACCCCAGGAUAUUAUCAGUAACCCAUAGUCACAACAACAGGUCACCCCAGGAUAUUAUCAGUAACCCAUAGUCACAACAACAGGUCACCCCAGGAUAUUAUCAGUAACCCAUAGUCACAACAACAGGUCACCCCAGGAUAUUAUCAGUAACCCAUAGUCACAACAACAGGUCACCCCAGGAUAUUACCAGUAACCCAUAGUCACAACAACAGGUCACCCCAGGAUAUUACCAGUAACCCAUAGUCACAACAACAGGUCAACCCAGGAUAUUAUCACUAAACCAUAGUCACAACAACAGUUCCAGUGUCCCUGUCUGUGUUCAACCAGCGUUCCCCUCCCACAUUACAAGUAUUUCUGUGGUUAGACCAAACCAACAACCUCUAAACCCAGAUAUGCUCCACAACCUUUUAUGGUUCACAACCAUGACCGUUACAAGGGUUACUUGUGUGAAAGUCUUCUUAAUGACUUUACCUUAUGGGCUUCCUAACAUUCCCGCAACGUUCCGGCAACAACAGGGAAGAAGCAAUGUCUUCCUCCAUCAUUCUCACAUCGCUAUUAUAUACAUUGUAAACUGUCUCAUUAAUCAUCUUACUGACAGAGAUGUUUAGAUUUUCUCAUGGUCAUUAGACUCAUUUCCAGACAGGCAUUUUGUGUCUCCGUGUGUGUGUGUGUGUGUGUGUGUGUGUGUGUGUG